CCAACGCGAAACCAACGCGAAACCAAAAGACAACCAAUGGAUCGGGCGGUACCUAGACGGGGGACCAGGCUCAAGCCAGCAUCGUAGAGGGCUUGUUCGGUAACAAGCUCCCUCUGCUUCGGUACCGACAUAUCUUUGAGUUGGUGGAAAUCCUCCUGGUUGUCCGCUUCCACUCGGCUGUUCUCGUUCGCCUCGGUCCGAGGCACGCCCCAGCAAGAAGGAAAACCCC
rnacentral:lncRNA from 1 species